rnacentral:tRNA from 1 species
UGCAUGGUAGCCCAGUGGGUAAAGCGCUUAUAGCUAUUUACCAAAUAUCGAUGGUUCGAAUCCAUCCCGAAGCAA